AUACGGAGGGUCCAAGCGUUAAUCGGAAUUACUGGGCGUAAAGGGGGCGCAGGCGGCCACGUCAGUCUAUGGUGAAAGCCCUCGACUCAAUCGAGGAAUUGCCUUGGAAACUGCGUGGCUUGAGUUCGGGAGAGGAGAGUGGAAUUCCCGGUGUAGCGGUGAAAUGCGUAGAUAUCGGGAAGAACACCGAUAGCGAAGGCAGCUUACUAGACUGAGACUGACGCUGAGGCACGAAAGCGUGGGGAGCAAACAGGAUUAGAAACCCCGGUAGUCC
rnacentral:rRNA from 1 species